ACGAACGCUGGCGGCGUGCUUAACACAUGCAAGUCGAGCGGUAAGGCCUCUUCGGGGGUACACGAGCGGCGAACGGGUGAGUAACACGUGGGUGACCUGCCCUCAGCUCUGGGAUAAGCCUGGGAAACUGGGUCUAAUACCGGAUAUGACCUUUCCUCGCAUGGGGUUUGGUGGAAAGUUUUUUCGGCUGGGGAUGGGCCCGCGGCCUAUCAGCUUGUUGGUGGGGUGAUGGCCUACCAAGGCGACGACGGGUAGCCGGCCUGAGAGGGCGACCGGCCACACUGGGACUGAGACACGGCCCAGACUCCUACGGGAGGCAGCAGGGGGGAAUAUUGCGCAAUGGGCGGAAGCCUGACGCAGCGACGCCGCGUGGGGGAUGACGGCCUUCGGGUUGUAAACCUCUUUCGACCCCGACGAAUUUGGACGGUAGGGGUAGAAGAAGCACCGGCCAACUACGUG
rnacentral:rRNA from 1 species